rnacentral:rRNA from 1 species
GAUGAACGCUGGCGGCGUGCCUAAUACAUGCAAGUCGAGCGAACGGACGAGAAGCUUGCUUCUCUGAUGUUAGCGGCGGACGGGUGAGUAACACGUGGAUAACCUACCUAUAAGACUGGGAUAACUUCGGGAAACCGGAGCUAAUACCGGAUAAUAUUUUGAACCGCAUGGUUCAAAAGUAAAGGACGGUCUUGCUGUCACUUAUAGAUGGAUCCGCGCUGCAUUAGCUAGUUGGUAAGGUAACGGCUUACCAAGGCAACGAUGCAUAGCCGACCUGAGAGGGUGAUCGGCCACACUGGAACUGAGACACGGUCCAGACUCCUACGGGAGGCAGCAGUAGGGAAUCUUCCGCAAUGGGCGAAAGCCUGACGGAGCAACGCCGCGUGAGUGAUGAAGGUCUUCGGAUCGUAAAACUCUGUUAUUAGGGAAGAACAUAUGUGUAAGUAACUGUGCACAUCUUGACGGUACCUAAUCAGAAAGCCACGGCUAACUACGUG